rnacentral:lncRNA from 1 species
CGUGGUUGGUCUAACAUCUAAGCAUAGCAGUGACAGUAUAGUUUGUAGUUUUGUGUGGAGGAUGAAACAUUGACAGAAUGUGUUUGUUUUUUCAUGUCAGAGUAGCUGGUAAUGUCAGUGGCCUGGCCAAAUUCUCUUGGGUUCUGCAGCCGAAGAUACUGACUUUUGGUUGUGUUUGUUCCAACAUAAACACUGUUUUGGCCUUUGGAGAGAAGGGUUGUAAGAAAGGAAGGAAGGUUGAUAACAACAGUACAAUGAUGUGGUAAGAGUAACUAGUCCCCAC